rnacentral:lncRNA from 1 species
AGAAAGAAAGAAAGAAAGAAAGAAAGAAAGAAAGAAAGAAAGAAAGAGAGCGAGGGAGCGCGAGGAGGCGUGGGGGGCGGGGGUGGGGGCGGCUCUGCGCGGGGCCUGCGUGGCGCGCGGAGCGGGUUGCGGGGCUUCCCCAGGCGGAUGCCCUUGAGCCGGUCUCCUUGGGGGGCCGCCCCCCGCCCCCGCCCCGGGUCCCCGGCCGCCGCGGGCCGCACACCCACGGAGGGCGCUGGGCUGGGCGACGCCGGCCGCGCGGACCCGCCCCCUGCGCGCCGCCCGGAUUGGCUCGUCGGAGCCGCGUCCCGGGUGCAGCCAAUGAGGCGGCCGGGGCGGGGGCUGCGGGGCGGGGCGCGGGGCGGCCGCCUCCUCCCGGAGGGAUUCCUGGAGGAGCUGCAGUGUGGGGAUGCUCUAGCCCGAGCGCUGCCCUCCGCGCCGCUCCUCCUCCGCCUCCGCCUCCGCCUCCUCCGCCUCCCGCAGCCGCAACUUGCAGCCGCGCCCGGGCCAGCCCCCCGGGGUGGUGUGCGCGGCGCCCCAGGGGUGUGUGCAGCGCGGGGGCGGCCCUGGGACCGGCGGGCGGCCCCGGGGAGCCUCCCACGCACCCACACCCACGCGCCCCUUUUGUGUUGCAGGCUGCCCCUCCACGAGCAGAGGCAGCGGGAGGACGCGCGCGCCCGCACGGGUCCACGCGGGCAGAGCCGCGGGGACGGACACCGGCACCCCCGGGUCCUGCCUCCAGGGAAAACACGAAAACGAGAACCAGCAAGAGCUUGA